rnacentral:rRNA from 1 species
GACGAACGCUGGCGGCGUGCCUAACACAUGCAAGUCGAACGAGGUCCAAGGGAGCUUGCUCCCUGAAGACCUAGUGGCGAACGGGUGAGUAACACGUAAGGCACCUGCCCCGGACUCCGGGAUAACCCGAGGAAACUCGAGCUAAUACCGGCUGCCCUCAUCGGAUCGCAUGGUCUGAUGAGGAAAGUUUUUCGGUCCGGGAGGGCCUCGCGGCCUGUCAGCUAGUUGGUGAGGUAACGGCUAACCAAGGCUACGACGGGUAGCUGGUUUGAGAGAACGGUCAGCCACACUGGGACUGAGACACGGCCCAGACUCCUACGGGAGGCAGCAGUGGGGAAUCUUGCGCAAUGGGCGAAAGCCUGACGCAGCAACGCCGCGUGCGGGAUGACGGCCUUCGGGUUGUAAACCGCUUUCAGCAGGGACGAAGAUGACGGUACCUGCAGAAGAAGCUCCGGCUAACUACGUGCCAGCCGCCGCCGUAACAC